AUGCAUCUGAGCGAGAACGAGGGGAUCGAGGGCGUGCGGUUCGUGGUGACUGGCGGGCAGAGUAUCGUCCGCGCCGCGCUAUGCCUGGAGCUGAUUCGCCGCGGCGCCCUGGAGGUCUGCUCCCUCGACGGCUCGAUCUGUGCGAUUCCUCCUCUUGGUCCCAGCAGCUCCUCGACGCCGGCGUCCGCUUCUUCCAAGCGUAGCAUCGAAGAAGUUAUGUGUUCAUUGAAUGGAUUUGACAGGACAUUUCCUGCAGGCAAUGAGGGAAGUAGAUGGGCAUGGCUGAUCUGUUCGUCAUGCAGUUAUGUGCUAUCUUAUUCCCUGAUGUUGAGUGUUCGAGAUAUAAAUGGCAUACAGAUGCUUCUUUGCCAUGAGUGUGUAAACUUGAUGAGGCAAUAUGGUCUUCAAGCACAAGAAAUACCCAUGGACGAGGAUCAACAGCUAAUGGCAAACGCGUCAGCGAGUUCCGAGUGUGGUGGCCCGUGCAACAUGAAGAAGACCAUCCGGACAAAGGGCAGUGCUUACAAUUCUCAAAGGCGUCAACAAGACCCGGAGGAGAUUGACAAGGUGCAGGCAAGAUCUCAAGUUCAUUGUUGUCUUUUUCUGUCUGAACAUUUUCUUAUUUGGAGUUGCAACCCAUUUAUGUUGGUUUGGUACCAUCAGCCGACUGGCCAGUUGCAAAACCAGCGGGAAACACUUGGGCUGGCCUGCCUGGCCUGCCGAGAGAAACCUUCAGCGAAAGCUCGUCUAUUUGCCGCACACGGAUGGCAAAUAGGAUUUGCCGAUGAGGCGGCAGCAGCAGCGGAUAGGGCACUAGGACACGACGGGGUGGUAGCGGCCGGCGGCGCGCAUCUGCCACGGGCAGGUGAAUGGCGACUCAGCGAGGCCGCAAGGUGGAGAACGUGGGCGAUCGUGGUCGAGUCCCAGGCAAUCGUGCUGCGUGACCGAGUCUUCAUGCUGACUAACAAGGAUUACCACAUGGCACAUGUGUUUACCCAAAAGGCAUCACUUCGAACACAAUGUUUGAUCCAAAAUCACCAAAAACAUAGCAUUUACAUGUUGGGGAUCGAGCCAACCAAUGCAUGCACCACCACCCCCUCGGUCACCAUCACUCAAACAAGGUCAUCAGCGAAGAAAAUAUCAUCAUCACCACCACCACCACCACCAUCCUCUCGGCCACCAUCACCACCACCACCCCCUAAGGGCACCACCACCAUCCUCUCGGCCACCAUCACCACCACCACCCGCUCGGCCACCACAACCAUUCUGAAGAGCGGCUUCCACUUGGGUCAAGAUCUCCCCAUGAGUGAGCUCGCAAUACUUUCUUGCGAUUUCAUCCAUUGUGGUUGGAUUCAUGAACAUGAUAGCAUGCUCUUCGGCCUUCUUGGAAUCACGAAUCCUCUCCUUGUCAAGUGCAAGCCUACGCUCUUCCGCCUUCAACUUUCUCUUUUGGGCCACCAACUUGGUCUUUCAUUUCUCAUUUUCCAACACCUUGAGCUCAUUUCACCUUGCCAUCCUCUCUUCCUUGCGUUCGUCCGCCAACACCUUCUUGGACUCAAUCAUAGCCACAAGUUCUUCUUUGUAUGUGCCACCGAAUGCAUUUCUCUUCUUUCUUUCUUUUGCAAUUUUAUUCUCGUCCGGUCUAUUGUUGGCCUCUUCAUCAACCUCAUUGUCCUCUUCAACGGAUAUGGUUAA
rnacentral:rRNA from 1 species